GAGGAAUAUUGGUCAAUGGGCGCAGGCCUGAACCAGCCAAGUAGCGUGAAGGAUGACUGCCCUAUGGGUUGUAAACUUCUUUUAUAUGGGAAUAAAGUUUUCCACGUGUGGAAUUUUGUAUGUACCAUAUGAAUAAGGAUCGGCUAACUCCGUGCCAGCAGCCGCGGUAAUACGGAGGAUCCGAGCGUUAUCCGGAUUUAUUGGGUUUAAAGGGAGCGUAGGUGGACAGUUAAGUCAGUUGUGAAAGUUUGCGGCUCAACCGUAAAAUUGCAGUUGAUACUGGCUGUCUUGAGUACAGUAGAGGUGGGCGGAAUUCGUGGUGUAGCGGUGAAAUGCUUAGAUAUCACGAAGAACUCCGAUUGCGAAGGCAGCUCACUGGACUGCAACUGACACUGAUGCUCGAAAGUGUGGGUAUCAAAC
rnacentral:rRNA from 1 species